rnacentral:lncRNA from 1 species
GAUCACAAGGUGCUGCACACGCCACGGGCUCCAGGUUCCCAGUGAGAGAACUUUAAGAAGAUGAUGACAACAGACUUGGCCUUGGAUCAUAAUCUCCCAACAGUGCUGUCAAGGAGUUCAGCUGAGGAGCACAUGUGCACGUUUCCUCAAUGGUCACUCCUGGAGCCACGCUUCAAGACUCAUCUGUUCUCACUCAGAGAGCUUUCUAAUUCAAGAGGAGCUAGGAGUGGGGGAUAACAAGUAGGAAAGCAGAUAUUUGAGUUUUUAACCUCCACCAUAAAUGAAGAUCACAAGACAAUGAACAUCAGCUGGAAGCAUUUGUUCUUCAUUUGGUAGCAAAUGACAAAGCUCUGAAAUGUGGCUGAUUGGAGGUGUGCUCUAAGAAGCUUAAUCUAGAAAAGAAAAAUAAAAUUAAUUGCAAGGGGAAAACAGAGGUGUAAAAAACAAGUAGAUGGCCAAUUCAUCAUUCAAGUAAGAGAUAAACAAGGUUGGAGUUCCAUGGAAUGAGUGGCAAUGGAAAGAAAAAGACACAUGUCAGAGGUACUGCAGAGAUCGAAUCAGGCAAGAUAUUUAAUUGGAAGAAGAGAUGGAGAAAGAGACAAGCAAUCGAAAAUGACACUGAUAUUCCAGACCAGGGUAAAAGGCAGUUCCACUAACAGAAAUAGAAGUGAGUGAAGUCUGAAGUUGUUGCUGAUUUUCCCAAGGAAGAUUAUCACUUGCUUUGGGGCAUGCUGAGUUUGUGUUGCCUGCUGAGCAUCCUACUGGAGAAAUACAUCUAGAUAUAGAGCUAUUCCUGAAAGUCAACAGACCAUAGCAAUUAAAAGCAUGGGCUUUGGAAUCAGCUAGAGCUCAGAUUCCUCAUCCACAAUAUGAAGGUAAUAUCAGAUCCUACUUUCCUGGAGAAGCCUAACUGAGGAAAUAUUUAAUGCACAGUGACUGCCUCAUAAAAAUUUUUAUGUAUUUGAGCUGAGGAGUAGCUACAUGUAAAUGCUCAUGGAAGCUAUGAGAAUGGGAGAAAUAACUAAAAACAAGACUGUAGAAAGAGAGCAUGUGAUGUGAAUGCCACUCAAAAACAGUGAGAAACACAGUGAUAACUAAGCCAACCUUUUAGUGAUUCUGGAUUCAAGACUGGAUGUGGAAUUAUGAACCAAAAGGCCCAGGGAUACGAUAUAUCUGCUCUUAAACACCCAAGAGGCCUCUCUCUUUCGGCACGUUGAUUGUCUAACUCUGUUUCUAUGUAGAUGCCUGGUACACUUAUCUCCAGUAUUGUCUACUGAUCUUAGAGUCCAUCACUCGGUAGAGAGGACUGGUGAGUCAGGAAAGUCUUGAUGCCUGGAUGAAUGGAUAGAUGGAUAGAUAGACAGACAGACAGAUAGAUAAAUAGAUAGAUAGGGGAGAUGGUGUAUUGUGGAGCACUGCCUGAAAUUAAAAGGAUUCUGUCAGAAGAUCUUAUACAAGGUUAAUUAACUUAGAGAUACAGUAGACUCCUGGCAUAAUAAAUUUAACAUUUGUAUUUUCAGCCUCUCACAAAAGUUGAUGAUAUGCAGACAAAAGAGAAAAUUGGCUAGGGAGUAAGCCUACAUAACUGUCAGCAUUUUUAUCUCAACACGUCUCUCUUGUAAAAAAAAAAAAAAGAAAUUAUCCAUUUCCAACUCUCUUUCCCAAAUAUUUAACCCAAAAACUGGAAAUAAAAGUAAAGAAGCCAGUGAGAGCACUGAUUGGUUGCUAAGAUUGGCAUGUUCAAUUCAGCAGUGACUUGGUGCCUUAGAAUGAUAUGAAUAUCUUCUAUGGAAAUAAAAUCACUUGAUGAACAGUUUUCAUCUAUACUGCAGUCAAAAGAAAAAUUGUUCACUUAGUAAGAAAGAAAACUUUAUCAAAAGUUGAAAAGAUUGUUAAAAUGUGAUGUUGCAUAAACAUCUUACAUGUUAAUUUGGGAAUUCAUGAGGUGUCAUGUGUCAUGUGUGUGCAAUAUUGGUUGGUUAAGGGCAUGCCUUUUUAUAGGGAAAUACCCUUUAGAAAAACAAUUGGUCGGGGACCAGGCCCGUGGCAUAGUGUUUGGGUUCACACGCUGUGCUUUACUGGCCUGGGGUUCACAGGUUCGGAUCCCAGGGGUGGACCAACAGACUGCUUAUCAGGCCUUGCUGUGGCGGCAUCUCACGUAUAGAAUAGAGGAAGAUUGGCACAGAUGCUAGCUCGGGGACAAUCUUCCUCAAGGACGAAGAAGAGGAUUAGAUCAUUAGGCAGAGAAAUAGGACUUUAAGUCUCAGUUUGCCACGUAGCCACUUACUUCUGCAUCUUGUCACAUAAAUAAGCCUUGGCAAGUAUGUCACAGAAUCAGCCCAGUCCUCAGUUUACUUAUCACAGAAGAAAAGACGGUGAAUGGACUGUACUAAAUGACCGUUAGCUCUAAGAACUUUCCAGGUCUGACAAUUUAUGACACUCUAUAGAAGUGGAUUCUGCAAUAUGUAUUGUGUUAAUGUUCCAUUCUUUUUUUACACUCCUUUAAAUUAUAUGUUUGGGAUGAGUAAAAGAGUCUCACGUGUUUUCACAGAAGACCUUGAUUUUUGUUAAUUUUCCCCGGUACUGGGUUCCAGAGUGACUGAUAAAAUGGGGCUAUCAGGUGAAGGCAAUUUUCCAAGCCUUCUCAUUAGAGUAAGCCUAGAGAUCGCUUCCUAAGAACAAGAUAUGAUUUUGAAAAAUUUCUAACUAGCCAAGAAAAUCACAUAGGGCCUCUUUUGGCUGCUUCUUGUGCUCAGUUGUACUAGUUCCUCAACAGAGGCCAGCAUCUACUUGGAGUUUGCUGUCUUUGUCAAGUUCCUUUUAUUCAAGCAAGAGGCAGUGGUGGAAAGUUUCACCAAAACAAAAUUCAAAAGUGCCUCAAAUUAGGACAUAUAAUCUGUCUUUGUGGCUCAGUUAUAGUUCUUGACCAAACCUUGCCAGAGGGAGUGCAGCACAGGUUAUGGGGCCCGGUCUCCAGCUUCCUCACACAUAUCUAGAUUCAGCAGGAACGGCUCUAAAUGGAACAAAAUAAAACCCUUAGAAUGGUUUUUCCUCAAAGGAUACAUUGAUUGCUCUUCUUCGACUGAAUUCUGUUCAUCUUGAUAUACUGAAGAGCAGUUCGUAGUAAGAAAAGAUAUUUUUCAACAAUAUUUUUUAUAAUAAUUAUUAUCACUUUAAAUUUGAGGGAUUGAAAAUGUAUUUGGAAAUAUUUGACCUAAAUUAGUUAAAGUUGCACUGACUUUAGAACAUAUUCCAUUCUUUGUGGCUGACACUACAAAAAUAUUCCCCAUCUGCCAAGCUCCGAACUCAACGCAUUCGGGAGAAGACUCAGAAACCUGCUCCACUGGCUAGCUCCGACUGUUAAAACAGAAACUCGUUCAAAACAUAGAACAUUUACUGACUUGAGAUGGUCAAGGACCCCUUGGAGAGAUUACAAAGCAUGCCAAAUAGAUUUCAGGCAAUUAAGAUCAUAAUAAAAAGUACAUCCAGAAUAUCAAGAAUUUACAAGACAGAGCCAUAUUAUUUCUGAAGACUUUAUGGCAUGUCCUUUUAACAAGUUUUAAUAGCUCUUCCUUGAAUAAAAUGCUCACAAUGAAACUGGAUAAUCAAAAUUGCUCUCAGCCUCUUUGCCUGAGUCAGAUAGUACUUGCCAGAGUUUUUAGAGUAGCAUCAGAAAAUACUGAUGCCACUAAAUCACUUGCUUCAAGAUCAGAGCCCUCUAAUUUUAAAUCACUGAUCAAACUAAGCCAUUUGGAGGCGCCCUGAUUUCUCUUGCUUCUGAGGCUUAUUAUAUUCAUUACCUCACUUCAACCAGGUUCUGGAUGACUUGUUUCUGUUCUAGUUAGAGCCGAUGUAAGAACGGUUUAAUGAUACUAAUAAGUAUGGGCCUGAGUCUGCCAUCCCUGUGGCCAUGCAACUUCCAUAAAGUCAAGAAGCCCUUUCAAAGCGCCUUAACCUUGAGGAUUCAUGUGCUGUCCAUAUGGGAAGACUUGUACAUCUUUAAGACGAUUGCUUCUUUGUUGCUAUUAUUAUCUUCUCAAAACAAAUAGAACAAACAGUGCACGUCAUGCCCAUCUUUUUCAGAGAAGAUAUCUUCAGAAAGCCCUUAAUGGGCCAACUGGAAACUGUUCUAACAGUACAGUCUUUCCUGGUUUUUCAAUUUACUACAGGUGGAUAAUCUCGGCAAAACCCAAGACAGUGAACAGAUUGAAUCACUUUUAACAGUUUGAGUCUUGAACGAAUUCCAAAGUGCUUAGACUCAAGCUGUUUUGCUUUCCUUUAACUAAUACCUCAAAUAAAGAUUAAAUAAUUUUUCUUUGAAAACUGGCCCAAAGUACUGGAAAAUUGCAUGCUUUUGAAAACCACAUUCAUUAUAAAAUGAGCAUUUGAGCAUUAUAAUUACACUGAUAUUUUAACUGGUGUUGCCAUAAAUUUAGGGGCAGGGACUGUCUCUUCAAAUCUUUCUUUGGUAUGCUGAAGUUCUCUUAAAGAGACACAAUUCUAAUAAAU